rnacentral:rRNA from 1 species
AUUGAACGCUGGCGGCAGGCUUAACACAUGCAAGUCGAGCGGGGGAAGGUAGCUUGCUACCGGACCUAGCGGCGGACGGGUGAGUAAUGCUUAGGAAUCUGCCUAUUAGUGGGGGACAACAUCUCGAAAGGGAUGCUAAUACCGCAUACGUCCUACGGGAGAAAGCAGGGGAUCUUCGGACCUUGCGCUAAUAGAUGAGCCUAAGGCGGAUUAGCUAGUGGGUGGGGUAAAGGCCUACAAAGGCGACGAUCUGUAGCGGGUCUGAGAGGAUGAUCCGCCACACUGGGACUGAGACACGGCCCAGACUCCUACGGGAGGCAGCAGUGGGGAAUAUUGGACAAUGGGGGGAACCCUGAUCCAGCCAUGCCGCGUGUGUGAAGAAGGCCUUAUGGUUGUAAAGCACUUUAAGCGAGGAGGAGGCUACUCUAGUUAAUACCUAGGGAUAGUGGACGUUACUCGCAGAAUAAGCACCGGCUAACUCUGUGCCAGCCGCCGCUGUAA